rnacentral:rRNA from 1 species
UACGGAGGGUGCGAGCGUUAAUCGGAAUUACUGGGCGUAAAGCGCGCGUAGGCGGUUUGGUCAGUCGGAUGUGAAAGCCCUAGGCUCAACCUGGGAAUGGCAUUCGAUACUGCCUGACUAGAGUAUGGUAGAGGGAAGUGGAAUUUCCGGUGUAGCGGUGAAAUGCGUAGAUAUCGGAAGGAACACCAGUGGCGAAGGCGACUUCCUGGGCCAAUACUGACGCUGAGGUGCGAAAGCGUGGGGAGCAAACAGG